rnacentral:rRNA from 1 species
AACGAACGCUGGCGGCAUGCCUAACACAUGCAAGUCGAACGAGACCUUCGGGUCUAGUGGCGCACGGAUGCGUAACGCGUGGGAACCUGCCCUUAGGUUCGGAAUAACUCCCCGAAAGGGGUGCUAAUACCGGAUAAUGUCUUCGGACCAAAGAUUUAUCGCCUUUGGAUGGGCCCGCGUUGGAUUAGCUAGUUGGUAGGGUAAAAGCCUACCAAGGCGACGAUCCAUAGCUGGUCUGAGAGGAUGAUCAGCCACACUGGGACUGAGACACGGCCCAGACUCCUACGGGAGGCAGCAGUGGGGAAUAUUGGACAAUGGGCGAAAGCCUGAUCCAGCAAUGCCGCGUGAGUGAUGAAGGCCUUAGGGUUGUAAAGCUCUUUUACCCGGGAUGAUAAUGACAGUACCGGGAGAAUAAGCUCCGGCGAACUCCGU